rnacentral:rRNA from 1 species
AUUGAACGCUGGCGGCAUGCCUUACACAUGCAAGUCGAACGGCAGCACGGGAGCAAUCCUGGUGGCGAGUGGCGAACGGGUGAGUAAUAUAUCGGAACGUGCCCGGUCGUGGGGGAUAACGUAGCGAAAGCUACGCUAAUACCGCAUACGAUCUACGGAUGAAAGCGGGGGAUCGCAAGACCUCGCGCGAUUGGAGCGGCCGAUAUCAGAUUAGGUAGUUGGUGAGGUAAAGGCGUCACCAAGCCGACGAUCUGUAGCUGGUCUGAGAGGACGACCAGCCACACUGGGACUGAGACACGGCCCAGACUCCUACGGGAGGCAGCAGUGGGGAAUUUUGGACAAUGGGCGCAAGCCUGAUCCAGCAAUGCCGCGUGCAGGAUGAAGGCCUCGGUUGUAAC